GCAGAGCACUCUUACGGGAGGCAGCAGUGGGGAAUAUUGCACAAUGGGCGCAAGCCUGAUGCAGCCAUGCCGCGUGUAUGAAGAAGGCCUUCGGGUUGUAAAGUACUUUCAGCAGUGAGGAAGGUGGAUAUGUUAAUAGCAUAUUCAUUUGACGUUAGCUGCAGAAGAAGCACCGGCUAACUCCGUGCCAGCAGCCGCGGUAAUACGGAGGGUGCGAGCGUUAAUCGGAAUUACUGGGCGUAAAGCGCAUGCAGGUGGUUUGUUAAGUCAGAUGUGAAAGCCCGGGGCUCAACCUCGGAAUUGCAUUUGAAACUGGCAAACUAGAGUACUGUAGAGGGGGUAGAAUUUCAGGUGUAGCGGUGAAAUGCGUAGAGAUCUGAAGGAAUACCGGUGGCGAAGGCGGCCCCCUGGACAGAUACUGACACUCAGAUGCGAAAGCGUGGGGAGCAAACAGGAUUAGAUACCCUGGUAG
rnacentral:rRNA from 1 species